ACCAGCGGCGAUAGCACGUUGAAUGCACCAGUUCCCCACGGAUCACUGAAGUUAAGCAACUUUGCGCGUGGUUAGUACAUGGAUGGGUGACCAUCCGGGGAAUCGCGUGCUGCUGGGU
rfam:Asian citrus Psyllid, Diaphorina citri - Florida Strain, whole genome shotgun sequence.